rnacentral:rRNA from 1 species
UGGGGAAUUGUUCGCAAUGGGCGCAAACCUGACGACGCAACGCCGCGUGGAGGAUGAAGAUCUUCGGGUCGUAAACUCCUGUCGAGCGGGACGAAUGCCUUGCCGGUGAAUAUCCGGCGAGGGUGACGGUACCGCUAAAGGAAGCCCCGGCUAACUCCGUGCCAGCAGCCGCGGUAAUACGGAGGGUGCAAGCGUUAUCCGGAUUCACUGGGUUUAAAGGGUGCGUAGGUGGGUUGGUAAGUCAGUGGUGAAAUCCCCGAGCUUAACUUGGGAACUGCCAUUGAUACUAUCAGUCUUGAAUAUCGUGGAGGUUAGCGGAAUAUGUCAUGUAGCGGUGAAAUGCUUAGAUAUGACAUAGAACACCAAUUGCGAAGGCAGCUGGCUACACGAAUAUUGACACUGAGGCACGAAAGCGUGGGGAUCAAA